rnacentral:rRNA from 1 species
AUCGAUGAAGAACGCAGCGAAAUGCGAUAAGUAAUGUGAAUUGCAGAAUUCAGUGAAUCAUCGAAUCUUUGAACGCACCUUGCGCCCGCUGGUAUUCCGGCGGGCAUGCCCGUUUGAGUGUCUUGAAACCAUCAACCCCCCGUCUUUGCGGGCGCGGGGGUUGGACGUGGGGGACUUGCUGCGCGCGAGCGCGGCUCCCCUUAAAUGCAUCGGUUGGGCUUGGGAUCGCCUGCGUGCCUCUGGCGUUGUAUCUACCUCGCUUGCUGGCCAUCGGCUUUCCCCUUGCGCGCUCGGCCUUGACCUUGCCUCUGGAGUGGCAGUCGACUUUGACGGUUUUUCCGUUCUUUCUUCUGACCUCAAAUCGGGUAGGACUACCCGCUGAACUUAAGCAUAUCAAUAAGCGGAGGAAAAGAAACUAACAAGGAUUCCCCUAGUAACUGCGAGUGAAGCGGGAAGAGCUCAAAUUUGAAAUCUGGCGGGUACCCCGUCCGAGUUGUAAUCUGGAGAAGCGUUUUCCGCGCUGGACCGUGUACAAGUCCCUUGGAACAGGGCGUCAUAGAGGGUGAGAAUCCCGUCUACGACACGGACCGCCAGUGCUGUGCGAUGCGCUCUCGAAGAGUCGAGUUGUUUGGGAAUGCAGCUCAAAACGGGUGGUAAAUUCCAUCUAAAGCUAAAUAUUGGCGAGAGACCGAUAGCGAACAAGUACCGUGAGGGAAAGAUGAAAAGCACUUUGGAAAGAGAGUGAAACAGUACGUGAAAUUGUUGAAAGGGAAACGCUUGAAGUCAGUCGCGUCUGCCGGAACUCAGCCUUGCUUCUGCUUGGUGCACUUUCCGGCCUGACGGGCCAGCAUCGGUUUCGAGCGGCGGACAAUGGCGAGGGGAAGGUGGCAGCUCCGGCUGUGUUAUAGCCCCUCGUCGCAAACGCCGCACGGGACCGAGGAAUCCGGCGCAAGCCUGGGAUGCUGGCGUAAUGGCUUUAAACGACCCGUCUUGAAACACGG